rnacentral:rRNA from 1 species
GAUGAACGCUGGCGGCGUGCCUAAUACAUGCAAGUCGAGCGAACAGACGAGGAGCUUGCUCCUCUGACGUUAGCGGCGGACGGGUGAGUAACACGUGGAUAACCUACCUAUAAGACUGGGAUAACUUCGGGAAACCGGAGCUAAUACCGGAUAAUAUAUUGAACCGCAUGGUUCAAUAGUGAAAGACGGUUUUGCUGUCACUUAUAGAUGGAUCCGCGCCGCAUUAGCUAGUUGGUAAGGUAACGGCUUACCAAGGCAACGAUGCGUAGCCGACCUGAGAGGGUGAUAGGCCACACGGGAACGUAGACACGGUCCAGACUCCUACGGGAGGCAGCAGUAGGGAAUCUGCCACAAUGGGCGAAAGCCUGACGGAGCAACGCGGCGUGAGUGAUGAAGGUCUUCGGAGCGUAAAACUCUGUUAUGAGGGAAGAACAAAUGUGUAAGUAACUAUGCACGUCGUGACGGUACCUAAUCAGAAAGCCACGGCUAACUACGUG